rnacentral:misc_RNA from 1 species
GAAAUGCGAUAAGUAAUGUGAAUUGCAGAAUUCAGUGAAUCAUCGAAUCUUUGAACGCACCUUGCGCUCCUUGGUAUUCCUUGGAGCAUGCCUGUUUGAGUAUCAUGAAAUCUUCAAAGUAAAUCUUUUGUUAACUCAAUUGGUUUCUACUUUGGUAUUGGAGGUCUUUGCAGCUUCACACCUGCUCCUCUUUGUUCAUUAGCUGGAUCUCAGUGUUAUGCUUGGUUCCACUCGGCGUGAUAAGUUAUCUAUCGCUGAGGACACUGUAAAAGGUGGCCAAGGUAAAUGCAGAUGAACCGCUUCUAAUAGUCCAUUGACUUGGACAAUACUUUUAAGAUCUGAUCUCAAAUCAGGUAGGACUACCCGCUGAACUUAAGC